CGACUCCAUUGCAAAGAAACAUAAUAUAUGGAAAAAUUACUAGAAAAUCUAGGAAAACUGACUGAAUGCUUUGGAAAGACACAGUCAAGAUUAACAUGCUGAGACUCGGGAGGUGGUGAUUUGCCUAGGGACACAGAAAAAUUAAAAAAAAUGUGUCACAAGAAAGUUUACAGAACCUACUCAAACUCAAAGAGAAAUCAGAGACUAAAUUCUCAAAACUGGAAGCUGCCUGCAGCAUCCACACUCUUCAGCCCUGUACUAUGUGAUGUGUAUUACGAAUGGAGCCACCAGCAGUAUUUGUAUGAAC
rnacentral:antisense_RNA from 1 species